rnacentral:rRNA from 1 species
UACGAAGGGGGCUAGCGUUGCUCGGAAUGACUGGGCGUAAAGGGCGCGUAGGUGGAUGGCUUUGUCGGGCGUGAAAUUCCAGGGCUUAACCUUGGGGGCUGCGUUCGAGACGGGUUGUCUUGAGUGGGGAAGAGGGUCGUGGAAUUCCCAGUGUAGAGGUGAAAUUCGUAGAUAUUGGGAAGAACACCGGUGGCGAAGGCGGCGACCUGGUCCUUUACUGACGCUGAGGCGCGAAAGCGUGGGGAGCAAACAGG